rnacentral:lncRNA from 1 species
GCUCAUUGAAUAAUCCAGGAGAGCAUUUGUAUACUCUUUUGGGUCUUGUACUCUUGUAAUAUAUAUGAAAUCAUUCUAACACACACAAUCACCUUCUACACACCUUGGUGGAAAAUGAAAUCCGCACAUAUUGCGUGGACAAUGAGCAUCAAUGACACAAUGAGAAUGACUCACUAUAAUGAAGAAAGAGAAGAAAAAAAAUAUUACUAAAAUAUGAUAAAAUAUUGAGUAUGAAGUAACCAAAAAAAUUUAAAAGGAUAGAAAUGGUUUUACCUUUAACCAACAUUGCAACAAAAAAUAUAAAAAGAAAAAUGAUCAUAGCAUAAACAUUUGCUCUUGGUGGAAUCAUGUUUGUUCCUGUGUUUGUUGUUAGUAACUUUUAGCAGUAUCUUAUAUUGUAAUUGGUCUCCUAACUUUUUAUUAUAUUGGCUGUUAUUUUGGCUUUAGCAUAGGUGAUUUUGCAAAUUUCUUUCUGUAUUGUGGUGAGUGUCGAUUAAGACAUUGUUUAUCUUGUUUGGGUUAGCACCCCUUGUGUCUAACUUUUUAUUUAAUUAAAUUUUCCGUUUAAUAUUUUUUAAAUUUUAGUCAUAUUUUUCACCCUUUGCAUAUUUGAAAUAGAAUUAUAUUUUAAAGUUUCUAAAGUUUAUGAUCUCCUUACAUCAAGUAAAUAGAUUUUAACUCUUAUAGAGUUGUAAAAAAAACUUCCAAAAAAUUUAAUAAUUCCUCAAAAAAAAAUUAAUAAUUAUUAAAUGUUUCUUAAUUACAUCAAUGUGUUGUUGUUAUCCCUUUUUUUUUUUUGUAGUGGCCAAGGUUUUCAAACCCUGGACCUUGCAUAUUUUAUACAUUGUUAUCCCUUUACCACACUUAAUAAGGUCAUAUAAAAAACUUACCAUUCCAAAGAGUUCCUUCUACUUUUUUUUACCAAAUUUUUAUUAUUUUGUGACCUUUCAUGAUAGAAAAGGAAAAUGAUGUGGUGGGUGAAUUUCGAACCCCAAACAACCCUUUUAUUCAUCUUAAGAGAUACGAUUCUAACUAUUAAAUUAUUUGACAAAAAAAGAAAAAACGAUAAAACAAUAAUAAUAAUGUUAUAAUUACUAAAUAUCUCUUAGAUAUGCAUAAUAUAUCCUUUAGAAUGAGAUAACAUUUUUGUCACAAUUUUUUAUUAUCUCACAGUGUGAGGGUAUCAAGCUGGAAUGCAUUUGAAAAUUUGUGAAAGAAUUGAUUAAGAAAAGAUUGGAUUGUAAGGAUAAAUUAUUGAGUUGAGAUUAAUCAGGAGAAAUGGAAUUGAAAUCCAUUCUCCAAAAGAACAAACUAUUCCAUUCUCCAAAAGGGAAAAGGUUAGAAUAACAUGAAUAUGUGUUUCAAACCAUAUCUUGAAAACGCAUAGAGAUUCGGCCACGGCUCCGCCUCUCCUAUGAUGGAGAGUUACUAAUGACCAGUGCAAACCUCUAUUUUUUAAGCUAUAUAGCUCUCUACAUCAUUUCAUCGAUGUACGAAGCUAUAACUUCCAUAAUUCAGAGUUGUAACUUUCUAAAUCUUGCAAACCUAUAUUUUUUAUGUGAAUUUCUAAAUCCUUUUUAUAUGCUUUGUUUACUUGUGCAUUCUAUUUUAGUAUCUAAGAAUCUUAAAAUUGUAUUUGUGUUGUUUGUCAUUUUGGAUGUUAAAUAACUAAACUUGGUAUUUGGAAAUACUUAAAACUAAUCCACAUCAAUCCUCAUUGGAUCGAUACUUUACUUACUUUUUAUUACUUCUUGCGAUAGUGUAUACUUGCACUAGAUAUGCAUUCAAAAUAAUCAACUAUUUUCUAAGCAUCAAUAGUUGCUCUAAAUCAGUGCCUAGUAUUUUGUUUUUACGUUUUAUUUUAUUGUUUCGAGUUUAUAUCCACCGUCCAUUUUAUCUGAUGGUUGGGGAUGGAGCAUCGGAGAGCACUGCAUGGAUUUGGGUUGUCGAAGAUCCAAAUUGUUGUGUUUGUUUUUUUUAAGGGUCAUUUUAAUCAGUGUCUCCGGAGUACUGGUUAAGGAAACAAAUAUAGUAAUAUUUACAUUGAAAGAUGUGUAAUUAAUGCAUUAAAAAAUUAAUAAGUGUCUUUUUUGACUUUCACUUUCUUCUUUUGCCCUCCUUAACCAGUGCCCCGCCCCCGGUUAACAUUUCCCUUUUUUUAAAUAACUAAGAUAGGGAAAAGUUUGUACUACUAUUAAUUAAAAUGGCACAAAUGCUCGUUUUACAGUCAUCCUUGAAAAUAUUUGAACUUUAUAUAUUGAGGUUACAAGGAUAAACUUGUAAAGUGAGCUAGCACUUCAAGUGUCAUUUGCUUUGUGUUUCACUAUGACAAAAAUCUUACAAAAGAAGAGGAUGUAGCCAACUCGCUCACCAUGCUUUCCGCUACCUAGGUUACAUCUUUUGUUGGGAACUGCCCUCUUGUGACAAUAAUCUUGCAUUUCUUAAUUAUUUUCAUAUGGCUUAAUACAUGCUUUGGUCCCUUAACUUAUUUUCGGAUUUCAUUUUGGUCCCCUAACUAUAAAGUGUCUCAAUUUGGUCCCUUAUGUCUUUUGUCGUUAUCUCUUUUGAUCCUAUCCUUUACAUUUUAACUGUUUGAUCUAUUUUUCAAAUAGAAGCCGUUGGAUCAUGUAGGUGUAUUGUAUCCUACGGUAAAUGAUUAACACCUGAUUUUUUUUAAGCCAAAAAUAUAUAAAAAAUUCAUAUUUUUUAUAAAAUCAUUUUCAAAAUUAAAAAAAUUUAUUUUUAUACGAAAUUUUUAAAAAAGGUCAGUUUUUUUUUUCGAAAAAAAAGGUUUUUUAAAUUUUCUCUACAAAAUUCUAGAAAAAAUUUAUAAAAAAUUCAGAUUUUAAAAUUAGAAAAAAAAAUAUUUCAGAAUUUUUAUAAAAAUUUUUCCAAGAUUUAAAAAUUUGAAAAAAAAAUAUUUUUUUACGAAAUUUCGAAAAAAGGUCAGAUUUUUUUUUUCCCGAAAAAAAAUGUUUUUUUAAAUUUUUUUCUACAAAAUUCUGAAAAAUAUUUUAAUUUAAAAAAUCCGGUGGAUUCUAGAGUGAGUGAUCAAUUAAGUCCCUCACCGGUGGACCAUGAAAAAAUUACAGUUGAAUUUAUUGAAUGGACCAGAUUUGUUAGAAAUAAAAAUGAAAACUUAUGCACCUUUCCACACACAAUCUUGUCUCGCCUCUUCUCCUUUCCAUCCUACCAUGUCCGAUCACCCCACCCUUCAGUUUUAUCUGAUUUGUUUUCCUCUCAAACCAAUUUUUUCUUCUAUCUCAUAAUUAUAGUAUCGAAAUUCAUGGCAAGGUUGAACCAACCAUCCAACACUGUUACACUUAUUAAAAAAGGCAAAACAAUAGAAUAUAAUCAUUUUUUAUUUGCUCAAAAAAAAAAAUCAUGUUUUAUUCAAUUAAUACAAUUUAUGAUGCUUGAUAGAUAUCAGAAAGAUUUUGGUCAAAGUGAGAUUUGUCCCCUUGAAUCAUACCUCAGCCAAUAAAUGCGACUGUUAUUUUCUUCAAAAAAAAUUGUGAUUAUUAUUUCUUAAAAAAAAAAUUGUGGGUUCUAUUGCUGAUUUUCUUAGUUACGAGACUAAGGGUGCUUCAAAGGUUGUACUUCUACAAUGAUCAAUGAGUAUAACAAGUGUUGUAUGAUUUAUGAAGUUGUUUAGUAAAUCGAAUUCUAAGAAAAAAUGAAGGGUGUAGCGGUGAUGAAAUGUAUCAGAGGAAGGAGAGAGGAAGAGGUGAGAUAGAUUGUGUGUGAAAAAGUAUAAAUGCUCUCAUAUUUAUUUUGAAUGAAUCUGGUCCCUUGAUUAAAUCCAACUGCAUUUCAUUCGUGGUCCACUGGUGAGAGACUUAAUUGGACCCUCACUCUAGAAUCCACCCAAAAAUCCAUAAUUCUGAAUUUAAAAAGGUCAUUUUUUUUUUUCAAAAAAAAAAGGUUUAUUUUAAUUUUUUCUACAACAUUCUGAAAAAUAUAUAAAAAAUUCAGAUUUUUAUAAAAUAUGAAAAAAAUUAUUCCUGAAUUUUUAAAAAUCUUUUUCAAAAUUUAAAAAAAUAUAUAUUUUUACGAAAUUUAAAAAAAAAGGUCAGAUUUUUUUUAAAAAAAAAUUUCUUCAAAAUUCUGAAAAAUAUUUUAAUUUUUAAAAAUCUGGAUGCAAAUUAUUUUAAAAAUAUAUAAAUAGAUGAAGAUUGAUGGUGAUUUUAAAUUUAUAUUUUUAAGAAAAUCAAGAAAAAUAGAAAUGAUUAUAUGUUGUGAGCCCAUUGUAUACUUGUGUACUUUUCAAAUCUAACCCUUGAUCACCAAUCUUAAAUGCAAUGUGGACAAUAGUUAACUAUUUUUGAAAACAAACUAACGGAGAGGACCAAAAGAGGUAACGACAGAAGACAUAAUGGACCAAAUUUAGACACUUUAUAAUUAGGGGACCAAAAUGAAAUCCAAAAAUAAGUUAAGGGACCAAAGCAUGUAUUAAGCUUUUUCAUAUCUAGAAUAAAGAUUGAGAAAUUUAAGUUGAAGUGUGGGAAAAACCAAAAGUGUAACAAGAUUAUGGUUUGCAAAUAUAAAAUUAUAAGCUUAGAAAUAACAUAAAAUUAUUUUUCACUUUCACUAUUAAAGAUAUUUUGGUAGUCGGUAGGGUUAGAAAGUAAACGUGAUAUGCUUAAAUUGAAGGUCAUGAUGAUAUCUCUAAAGUUACAAGAGAAGAAGACAAUCUAGAUAAUAUUUUUUUUUGUUGUCUUCUUUCAUUUCAUUGGCAUAAUCCUAGAAUACAAAACUAUAACUACAACCGUGUAAUUAGAAUAACUAAAAGAAAAUUGAAUUAUUGCAAGACAACUCUUAGAGUAUAAAACCAUAACUACAACUGUGUAAUUAGAAAAAACUAAGAAAAAAUCAAAUUUUUGCAUGACAACAAAAUAAGUAAAUGAAAGCUCAUUGAAUACAAAAUAAGGUCAUAUACUCUGUAAUAUAUGAGAUCGUUCUAACACUCACAAUAACGUCCUACACACUUUGGUAUAAUACUACCAGCUCCGCACAUGAACCCCGGACAAGUAUCAUCCCUGCCACAUAGAACUAUAAAUAAAAUGUUAAUAUAUUAAGUAUGAAGUAACGAAGAAUGAUGAGUGAUUAAAAAUAAUCCAAAGAAUAUAAAAUAGGAGCACCAAAGUAAUGGUUUCAUAUAAAUGAGGGGACUAAAAUUUUGAUUAAAUUAAAAUAAGAAGGCCAAAAGUGUUUUUCUUUUUUGUGGUGGUCUGGGUUCGAAUCUCGAAUCUUACAUAUAUUAUACAUUGUUCCUACCAACUAAUCUAAACUCAAGACCAAAAAUGCAUUUAAGUCUACUUUAAAAUUUAUUAUGUUCACAAUCUCCUUACAUCAAAAAGAUUUUAGCGCUUAUGGGGUGGUAAAAAAACUUCCUAAAAUUUUAAUAUUGAUUAAAUGUCUCUUAAUUAAUUCCCUAAAAAAAAAAAAAAUAUCUCUUGAUUAUAUCAAUGUGUUGUUUUUGUCCCUUUACCACAAUUAAUAAGGAGGUCAUAUAAAAAACUUUUCAUACCAGAUAAUUCCUUCUACUUUUUUUUUUACCAAAUUUUUAUUAUUUCGUAACCUUUCAUAAUGAAAGGGAAAACGACGCAGGGUCAGGAUUCGAGCUUCGAACACUCAAAUUAUUCAUCUUAAGAUAUGAAAUUAUACUUGCCAAAUAAACAUAGGGAAAACGAUAAAACAAGAAUAAUAAUGUUAAUAAUUACUAAAUAUCUCUUAGGUACAUCAAUAUGUUGUAUUUGUCCCUUUAUCACACUUAGUAAAGAGAUCACAUAAAAAUCCUACCAAUCAUAAGAAUUCUUUUUUUGUUUGCCAAAUUUUCAUUAUUUUAUAACCUUUUGUGAAAGAAAAGGGAUCUCAAAACAAUAGUAAUAUUGUUCGACAAUGCAACACCUCAAUUUUCCUAUAGUCUUGCUUAUGAUCGAUGGUUAUUGUGUUUAUGAUGAUUUUGAGCUAUGGGAUUAAGUGUAGGAUAUAUUCAAUGAGCUUACAAACCUCUUUAGAAUGAGAUAGCCUUUUACACAAAUCAAUGUGAAGCGAUCUCUACAUUAUUCUAUCGAUAUACGAAGCUAUAACUUUUAUAACUUAGAGUUGUAAUUUUCUAAAUCAUGCAAACCUUUAUUUUUACCAAGUUAAUUCGUUAACUAAACGUUUUUACUUGAAUCUCUAAAUUCUUUUUAUAUGCUUUAUUUACUUAUGCAUUUUAUGUUAGUAUCUUAGAAUCUUAAAAUUUUAUCUCUGUUGUUUGUCAUUUUGGAUCAUAAAUAACUAAACUUAAUAUUUAAAAAUACUUGAAACUUAUCCACUUCAAUCCUCGUUAAAUUGAUACUUUACUUGCACUCGAUGUGUAUUGAAAAUAAUCAACUAUUUUCUAAGUAUCAAUCGGUGCCUGGUAUUUUGUUUUUACAAUUGAUUUUAUUGUUUUGAGUUUUUAUCCACUAUUCAUUUUAUCUGAAUGUUGGAAAUGGAGUAGCAGAGGUCGUUGCAUCCAAAUAGUUGUGUUUCUUUGUUUUUUAAAUAACUAAGAUAAGAUAGGGGAGAGUUUGUACUACUAUUAAUUAAAGUGGCACAAAUUCUCGUUUUACAAUCAUCCUUUAAAAUAUUUGAACUUUAUAUACUGAGGUUAUAAAGGAUAAACUUAUAGAGUAAGCUAGCACCUCAAGUGUCAUUUGCUUUGUGUUUCACUAUGACAAAAAUCCUACAAAAAAAAAAGAGGAUGUGGCGAACUCGCUCACCAUCCUUUGUUGGGAACCCGUCCUCUUGUGACAAUCAUCUUGCAUUUCCUAAUUAUUUUCUUAUCUUGAGAAUUUAAGUUGAAGUGUAAGAAAAACCAAAAGUGUAAUAAGAUUAUGACACAUAUAAAAUUAUAUGUUCAGAAGUAACAUAAAAUUAUUUUUCAAUUUAACUAUUAAAGAUACUUUAAUUUAAGGUCAUGAUAAUAUCUUGAAGUUAUGAGAGAAGAAGACAAUCUAGAUCCUAAAUAAUAUUUUUUGACGUCUUAUUUCAUUUCAUUAGCAUAAUUUUAGAGUACAAAACUAUAAGAAAAACUAUAAUAAAAAAAAAAAUUCAAAUUAUUGCAUGACAACACAAUAAAUAAAUGAAAGCUCAUUGAAUAAUCCGAGAGAAUUUGCGUCUCUCUUGGGUCUUGUACUCUGUCAUAUAUGAAAUCAUUCUAACACUCACAAAAACGUCCUACACAUGAACUUUGGACAACGACCAUCCCUACCGCAUAGAACUAUAAAAAUAAAAAAAAUGUUACUAAAAUGUGAGAAAAUAUUAAGUACGAAGUAACGAAAAAUGUUGAAAAGGAAAAAAUUGUUUUACCUCUCAUGCUCAUUGUAACAAUAAGUGGAGAAAUAAAGAUGAUCAUAUCAAAAAUAUUUUUUGUUAUUGGAGUCAUGUUUGUUCCUCUGUUUCUUGUGAGUAGCUCUUAGCAGUAUCUCAUCUUAUAUUGUUAUAUAUAUGCUUCGAAUAAUUUUAAUUGAUCUCGUACCACUUUAUUACAUUGGCUGUUAUUUUGGCCUUUAGAAUAGGUGAUUUUGCAAAAUUCUUUUUGUAUUGUGGUUGGUGUGUCGAUUAAGACAUUGUUUAUCUUGCUUGGGUUAGCAUCCCUUUUGU